GUAGGGAAUAUUGCGCAAUGGACGAAAGUCUGACGCAGCGACGCCGCGUGAGUGAUGAAGGCCUUAGGGUCGUAAAGCUCUGUUGAAUGGGAAGAAAAAAAUGACGGUACCAUUCGAGGAAGGACCGGCUAACUUCGUGCCAGCAGCCGCGGUAAUACGAGGGGUCCUAGCGUUGUUCGGAAUCAUUGGGCGUAAAGGGUGUGUAGGUGGCCAGGUAAGUCAGGUGUGAAAGCCCCGGGCUCAACCCGGGAAGUGCACGUGAUACUGCGUGGCUUGAGUACCGAAGAGGGUAGUGGAAUUCCAGGUGUAGUGGUGAAAUACGUAGAUAUCUGGAGGAACACCGGUGGCGAAGGCGGCUACCUGGUCGAGUACUGACACUGAGACACGAAAGCAUGGGGAUCAAACAGGAUUAGAAACCCGGGUAGUCC
rnacentral:rRNA from 1 species